rnacentral:rRNA from 1 species
AUUGAACGCUGGCGGCAUGCUUUACACAUGCAAGUCGAACGGUAACAGGGUGCUUGCACCGCUGACGAGUGGCGAACGGGUGAGUAAUGCGUCGGAACGUGCCGAGUAGUGGGGGAUAACGCAGCGAAAGUUGUGCUAAUACCGCAUACGUACUGAGGUAGAAAGUGGGGGACCUUCGGGCCUCACGCUAUUCGAGCGGCCGACGUCUGAUUAGCUAGUAGGUGAGGUAAAGGCUCACCUAGGCGACGAUCAGUAGCGGGUCUGAGAGGAUGAUCCGCCACACUGGGACUGCGACACGGCCCAGACUCCUACGGGAGGCAGCAGUGGGGAAUUUUGGACAAUGGGCGAAAGCCUGAUCCAGCCAUGCCGCGUGUCUGAAGAAGGCCUUCGGGUUGUAAAGGACUUUAAGCGAGGAGGAGGCUACUUAGAUUAAUACUCUAGGAUAGUGGACGUUACUCGCAGAAUAAGCACCGGCUAACUCUGUGCCAGCCGCCGCCGUAAAAC